ensembl:lncRNA
GUCUGCAGCUUCACUCCUGAAACCAACAAGACCACGAACCCACUGGGAAGAACCAACAACUCCAGACGCGCUGCGUUUAAAGUGCUGUAAUGCUCACCACUAAGGUCUGCAACUUCACUCCUGUCAGCAAGACCACGAACCCACCAGAAGGAAGAAGUUCCAGACACAUCUGAACAUCUGAAGGAACAUACUCCAGACAUACUGUCUUUAAGAACUGUAACACUCACCGUGAGAGUCCGUGGCUUCAUUCUUGAAGUCAGUGAGACCAAGAACCCACCAAUUCCGGACACAAUGACAACGUUUUGUUAGCUUCCACCAUUUUACAAUGGCAACUGAGUUCAGUGGUAGCUUAGGCAAUAAACCUUUUCUGGUUUGAUAUCUGGAUGACCUUUGCAAUUUAUUUGUUCUUUUACCCUCAACAGCCUUGGAUUUUUAUUUCCUUUAGCCUUUAGGAAAGUUUGAAAGCCAGAAAUAUCGACUGCUUGGUAUAACUAAAAUCAGAUAAUAAGGGAUUUUUAAAAAUUAAAGAGCAAUCAGCUUAAUUAAAAGUGUACAUCCAAGUUAUAGUCAUAUUUAAAAGGCCUUUAUUUAUUUCCCACCCUCCCUUGGAUUUUGUUUUGCUGGAAAAGGGGUGUUUUUCUCAAUCGGCUGAAUUCUCCAUUUUCUCUUGGCACUAGAUGGAUGCAGGAGACUAAGAAAGCUCUGGGGGACAUGGGACUCCUUGGGAAAAACAGAAGGCACUACUGACCCCAUUUUGGGAAGAAAUCUGUUUUCAUCAUAGAACCCCAGGAACUAAAAGCAGAUAGAUCCCUCUCAAAAUCUGUUUUUGGGUCCCAAUUAUGGCUGUGUAUUAUGCCCUAGAAGCAGCAUGUUUUCGUCCUCUAAAAGGAUCCAGCUAGAAGACUGUAAUCCAAUUCAGAGACUGGCAAAUGAAAAAUUUUGUGGCUGCUGAGUUUUCUUCUGCCUGGCUAUGUAGUUAUAUAUGUGUUGUGUUUGUGAUGUUUAUAAAAAUAGUACUAAUUCAUUGGGCCUAAAGAAAAAAUAAGCACUUGGAUCAAAUAUUUGUUAAUGGAAAGAUAAAAGCUGUGGUAGCUUUUAGUUCUCGUGACUUUAACCUUUGAGAAAUAAAAACAGCCUAAAGGUUAUUUGGUAAAAUGCAGAUGCCAUCAAAAUGUAAAUAGGUGGACUAAAUUAUACUGGUCAGGUACUAGGUUUGCUAAAUGUUUUAAGGUUACAAAAUGCUUUUUGAAACUGAUUCAAUUUGCUGGCUUCACAACUGGUAAGGCCUGGAACAUAUGUUACUAACCAUGCCCUUAAUUGUGCUGGAAGAAGUCAAACCUUGACUCCACCUAGCACAUAAUUUAAAAAACUUACCAGGUUUUACUUUAAAGGUAACAAGUACUAGGAGUUGCCAUUAUAACAUGUAAUUGAGACUACUAAAAAUAUAUUUACAUUUCAGUUAGGUAAGGACAGUGAAAUGUGUUUUUAGUACAAGAUUAUAAGAAGGCAUAGAAAUGUAAAAUUUUGCCUCAGAUUAAAUGGUUAUUUUGAAUUAAGUAAGACAACAGUAAAAGUUCAAACAAGUUAUGAAGGAUUGUAAAACCUAAAAGUUAACCUUGUAAAGGAAAUUCCAUGUGUGAACAUAUUGACUAAAUUCAAAGGAUGCCAUAUGGUUUUUCUGUAAAUUCAGCUUUGAAAUAAAAGCACAACAAGGUACUGUUAAAGUACUAAGCUACUCUUCAGCAAAAUUUGUAAAGAGCUAUAACAGGUUUUUGCUUUUAAAAUUUCUGAGUCAUCAUUUUGGCAAAGUAAAUAACUUACGGUAAUCUGGAAUUCUAUUUCAUAACAUCAAGUAUUUUAAAUCACUAACGUACUUAACAGGCUUUCCAAAAUGAAACUUCAGUUUCAAAAUUGUCUUUCUUGACACCAGACUUUUGGAUGCUACAGAAGACACAUGCAGAAUCAAAAAAAAAAAAAAAAA